rnacentral:lncRNA from 1 species
UGGGAAGCUAAGAUCCUACAUAUUGUAUUUCUUCAGCUGAAGACAGUAUUUAAUUAUAGCCUAGGUAGGCUCGAAAUCUUUGCUCAACACACCCUUGCUCUGAAGCAGGUAACUGAAAAUCUAAAGUCCAGAAUGGGCACAGACCACAUCAAGUACCCAGAGCAAAGACAAGAAAAAAGAGCACUUACCUACACGUUCAUGAGGAGAAAGAAUGUCAAAUUCAUCCAAGUUCCCGGCAACUGAAACUACUUCUGCUUUGCCCAGAGAAGAUGUACAGGUGCUGCAGGUUCAGUGCAACUGCUGAAAUGAUCAUUACCACCUGGAAGAAUUUAGCUACUCAGAUUGGCAUGGCAAGGAGAAGAGUUUGGGCCCAGCAGCCAAACUGUGUGUAGCUAUCAAAGCACCUCACUGCAGUUCUGUCUCUGCUGAUACACAAAACCCACUCUGCCUGCAGACAAAAAUGGCAAGACUGCAUGGAAACAGCAUAGAAAUUAAGCAAACAUGCCCUACAGAGAAAUAGUUAAUUAGUACAGGCUCAGCAGUGCUAAUAGUGAAUAGUGACUUUUGGAGGAGAACUGAAAGACUCCUCUUGAAGUCCAUACUCAGUGAUCUUAAAGCUUCCUGCAACACACAGCACAGUUGGCUGCAACUGAGUGAGGAAAGGCAAACUCUUCCAUAUGCACAGGAGUGGGGGAGUGCAGUAAAUGCAAUGUAAACAGCUUGUCUGAUCUACGUGGUGUAAGAUGCCUUUCAAAAUUAACGUGUAUCUUUGCUUUGAAAAAGUUCGAUUUUUCUCCACAUUACAAAUUCCUUGAAACAGGUAACUUUUUACUGCCUUGCAAGCAGCAGAGCAGAGACAGACUCUAUACAUGCAGGGAAAAUGGCUGCACAGCCACAAGAACGCAGCUACGCAAUAGGUAAGUUGUGCUGGGCCUCCCAUCAGUGUUUAUGGAUAUAUAUCUAUCUAAACGUCACUAGGUAAUUAAAUAUGCGUCUGAUCACAGUACAUUGUGUUCUUGACUCAGCAGGGACCCUCAUCUUUACUUUGCUGAAAUCAUAGAUGAUAACACUUGGAGGCAAACAUGGACAUCUCAGUAAAGAAAAUGAUUUUUAAACCAGUAAAUGCGGAUAUAUCCCCGUAACAGUAAUUGUUCUGCAUGGAGUAGACUCAUGGGGAUAGGAAUUAUUCAUUCAUAGCUCUGAUUUUUC